rnacentral:rRNA from 1 species
AGGGGUUUGAUCCAUGGGGGCUCAGGAUGAACGCUGGCGGUAUGCUUAACACAUGCAAGUCGAACGAGACUACUUGUAGUCUAGUGGCGGACGGGUGAGUAACGCGUGAGAAUCUGCCUUGAGGACUGGGGCAACAGCGGGAAACUGCUGCUAAUACCAGAUAUGCAAGAUCGUGAAAUGGGGCAACCCGCCUGAAGAUGAGCUCGCGUCUGAUUAGCUAGUUGGUGGGGUAAGAGCCUACCAAGGCGACGAUCAGUAACUGGUCUGAGAGGAUGACCAGUCACACUGGGACUGAGACACGGCCCAGACUCCUACGGGAGGCAGCAGUGGGGAAUUUUCCGCAAUGGGCGAAGCCUGACGGAGCAAUACCGCGUGAGGGAGGAAGGCUCUUGGGUUGUAAACCUCUUUUCUCAGGGAAGAACAAAAUGACGGUACCUGAGGAAUAAGCAUCGGCUAACUCCGUGCCAGCAGCCGCGGUAAUACGGAGGAUGCAAGCGUUAUCCGGAAUUAUGGGGCGUAAAGCGUCCGCAGGUGGCAGUUCAAGUCUGCUGUCAAAGGUCAGGGCUUAACCUUGAACAGGCAGUGGAACUGAACAGCUAGAGUGCGGUAAGGGGCAAAGGGAUUCCCA